rnacentral:rRNA from 1 species
UACGGAGGGUGCGAGCGUUAAUCGGAAUCACUGGGCGUAAAGCGCGCGUAGGUGGUCCGUUAAGUCGGAUGUGAAAGCCCUGGGCUUAACCUGGGAAUUGCAUUCGAUACUGGCGGACUUGGAGUGUGGUAGAGGGAAGUGGAAUUCCAGGUGUAGCGGUGAAAUGCGUAGAUAUCGGGAGGAACACCAGUGGCGAAGGCGGCUUCCUGGACCAACACUGACACUGAGGCGCGAAAGCGUGGGGAGCAAACAGG